GCUCUGUUCACUUGACCAUCGAGACGGCUUCUCUAGCUCACGCUGGAGGACUCGGACAGCCUCCGCCCAUUUAGCAACAUAUUGGGAAUUGAGCACGCAACCCUCCUGAUUCAGCCUCUGAGAGUGCUGGGACACCCAGGUGGUACAUUUCUUGAGUUUCUAGUAGGACAAGUGGAAGAAGCCAGUCCCAGAAGCAAGAAGCCAGAACCUCAAAGGUGGAGGAGUGGUUGGAGUCCACCACAGUUCUCCUCUGGAAUCGCUCCACUGCUGCAAAGAUGGGUUGGUGGCCGCAAGGCUGGAGAAACACAAGGACUUCUGUCUGAUGUGUGAGGAAGUGGAAUGAAUAAAAGCUGAACAAAAAUCCAGAAUUCUCCAUAGAUCUGCCAGUUCCCCACAGGAAGCACUAGAGAGAAGGCUCUGCUCGGUUCUUGCAGUGGAGAAG